UACAGAGGUCUCAAGCGUUGUUCGGAUUCAUUGGGCGUAAAGGGUGCGUAGGUGGCGCCGUAAGUCGGGUGUGAAAUUUCGGAGCUUAACUCCGAAACUGCAUUCGAUACUGCGGUGCUUUGAGGACUGGAGAGGAGACUGGAAUUCAUGGUGUAGCAGUGAAAUGCGUAGAGAUCAUGAGGAAGACCAGUGGCGAAAGGCGGGGUCUCUGGACAGUUCCUGACGCUGAGGCACGAAGGUCAGGGGGAGCAAACGGGG
rnacentral:rRNA from 1 species